GCCAGCAUGGUGUAGUGGUUUGAAUGUCAGAGUAUGCCUCUGGAGGCCAGGGUUUGAGUUCCCUGCUGGCC